rnacentral:rRNA from 1 species
GCAUAUCAAUAAGCGGAGGAAAAGAACCCAACAGGGAUUGCCCCAGUAACGGCGAGUGAAGCGGCAACAGCUCAAAUUUGAAAUCUGGCCCCCGGGCCCGAGUUGUAAUUUGCAGAGGAUGCUUUUGGCGCGGUGCCUUCCGAGUUCCCUGGAACGGGACGCCAUAGAGGGUGAGAGCCCCGUACGGUCGGACACCAAGCCUCUGUAAAGCUCCUUCGACGAGUCGAGUAGUUUGGGAAUGCUGCUCAAAAUGGGAGGUAUAUUUCUUCUAAAGCUAAAUACCGGCCAGAGACCGAUAGCGCACAAGUAGAGUGAUCGAAAGAUGAAAAGCACUUUGAAAAGAGGGUUAAACAGCACGUGAAAUUGUUAAAAGGGAAGCGCUUGUGACCAGACUUGCGCCCGGUGAAUCACCCAGCUCUCGCGGCUGGGGCACUUCGCCGGCUCAGGCCAGCAUCAGCUCGCCGUCGGGGACAAAAGCUUCGGGAACGUAGCUCUCUUCGGGGAGUGUUAUAGCCCGUUGCACAAUACCCUUCGGCGGGCUGAGGUACGCGCUCCGCAAGGAUGCUGGCGUAAUGGUCAUCAGCGACCCGUCUUGAAACACGGACCAAGGAGUCAACCUUAUGUGCGAGUGUUUGGGUGUCAAACCCCUACGCGUAAUGAAAGUGAACGCAGGUGAGAGCUUCGGCGCAUCAUCGACCGAUCCUGAUGUUCUCGGAUGGAUUUGAGUAAGAGCACUUAGGGUUGGACCCGAAAGAAGGUGAACUAUGCGUGUAUAGGGUGAAGCCAGAGGAAACUCUGGUGGAGGCUCGCAGCGGUUCUGACGUGCAAAUCGAUCGUCAAAUAUGCGCAUGGGGGCGAAAGACUAAUCGAACCUUCUAGUAGCUGGUUUCC